rnacentral:misc_RNA from 1 species
AGCCGUGCAGGUGCAGGUGCAGCGUCAGCCAUGGCCAUGGUGCCAAGCCAAGCCAUACAGCAUGUGCGGGUGCUGUACGCCUGUACCCUGCCCACCUGCUUCCCCACCCCAACCAACCUUUCCAAAACCCCCCCACAACCAGAACACCACUCACUCGGUCACUCCCCCAUCUCAAUUCUCCCACCCGGCCGCCGGCACCACACGCGCGCUCCGGGAGCCACAACGACCGAUGGCGAGGGCGCGCCUCCCUCUCCUCCUCCUCCUCCUCGUGGCGUUCCUCGCCGGCACAGGCUCCACGGCGGCCCGACACGCCGCGCCCGCACCCGCGUCCGCGCCCCGGGCGUCGCCGUCCAUCUCCGCGGCGCCCGAGUACGGGGCGCCGCUCCCGCGCCUCCCGAACCAGCACCAGCGCCCCUCCGCGCUUGCGCCGUCGCAGGCGCUGGCGCCGGACAUAAUGCCCGUGCUGCCGUCUCCGGCCGAGGACGGCGCCGCGCCGCCGCCCGACGCGGACGAGCCCACCAUCCCGUCCAGCCCCAGCCCGCCCAACCCGGACGCGCUGGAGCCCGCGUGGGCGCUGGCGCCGUUCGGCUCCGCGCCCGCCGUCGCCGCGCAGUCCCCCGCCGCCGCGCCGGCCCCGGCGUCGGCGCUCGUGCUGCUGGCCGUGCCGUGGCUGCUGCUGGUGGUGGUGGUGUAGCGGUUCGGUCUAGCGGCGUGCGCGACCUGCCUGCCGUGGACCACGCCGGCCUCUCCACACAGCUGCUGCUCCUCGUGGAUCAUGUCAUGUGCAUGUCUCGGCGGCAGGCGUGCAGGGUGCACGGAAAAAGGUGGUCCUCGCGGGUUGGUCGGCCUCGGCCGGGCUGGCUGGCUCUGCAGCUCGCCUUGCCGCCACUACUCUCUGCGUCCUCGUGAAGAACUGCUGCUUCUGCUGCUACAUCUCAUCAGCUUUUACUUCUCUAUAUCUCCUGUAAAUCUUAGCUUACUUUUCGGGUGGGGUUACGGCCGGCGAUUUCGCUAUAGACUUUUUUUGUUUUGUUUUUAACUUUUGUUCAGCGGAGAUUAUUAUUUGGGUGAUUCUUGCAGUAAAACUGGACGGGUGGUUCCGUAUUCGUGCUAGUUGAUUGCUCAGCUACGAAGCACUGUGCUUACUACCUUGCGUGAAGCUCGAAUUUGGUCCUCAAUUACAUGCUCCCCUCAUACUUGCCUGCUGCUGAUUCCAUAAGCCCUAUCCAGCCAAUCAUGGCUACAUCACUGGUAGUCUAGGAAUAUAUAUAUUUUUUUACUGCUAGCUUUCUGAACAUGAGCAUUCACCUGGAAAAGUGUGCGAUGAUUGUUUCCUUUCUAGUACC